CUUCACCACCAUGCACAUUAGCUGCGGGUCGCCACCUCCGUCAGGUUAACUGGAGGAGUAGUCUUGCCGUGAAGUCACAAGAAGAUAGAGGCAUGCAUCUGGAGAGAGGACGAGUUAUCAACACAGACUCUGAUGAUGAACAACCUCAUGUAAAAGUACCAGGAGGAGUAGUCUUGCCAUGAAGUCACAAGAAGAUAGAGGCAUGCAUCUGGAGAGAGGACGAGUUAUCAACACAGACUCUGAUGAUGAACAACCUCAUGUAAAAGUACCAGGAGGAGUAGUCUUGCCGUGAAGUCACAAGAAGAUAGAGGCAUGCAUCUGGAGAGAGGACGAGGGGGGUAGAAUUUUCUUUCUCUGCACUCGCAUCUCCAGCGUGCCCGCGUUAGCGCACAUUCAGCGAGCCUCCAGUGAACCUCCAGCGAGCCUCCAGCGAGCCCGGGAUCGUUGGGGAUCGUUGGAGUCAAACUGGAGGUGCGCUUGUGCCUCUCCAGCGAGCCCGCAUUGAUGCCUCUCCAGCGUAUCCG